GACGAACGCUGGCGGCGCGCUUAACACAUGCAAGUCGAGCGAGAACCAGUCCUUCGGGACUGGGGAAAGCGGCGAACGGGUGAGUAUCACGUGGGUAAUCUGCCCUCGGCACUGGGAUAGCCCGGGGAAACCCGGAUUAAUACCGGAUAGCCUCUCGAGCCUUCGGGCUCGUCAGAAAAGGUGGCUUCGGCUUCCGGCGGUGGAUGAGCCCGCGGCGGAUUAGCUUGUUGGUGGGGUAAUGGCUCACCAAGGCGACGAUCCGUAGCUGGUCUGAGAGGACGAUCAGCCACACUGGGACUGAGACACGGCCCAGACUCCUACGGGAGGCAGCAGUGGGGAAUCUUGCGCAAUGGGCAAAAGCCUGACGCAGCGACGCCGCGUGCGGGAAGAAGGCCUUCGGGUUGUAAACCGCUUUCAGGAGGGACGAAGCCACUCGGGUUAAUAGCCCAGAGGGUGACGGUACCUCCAGAAGAAGCCCCGGCUAACUACGUGCCAGCCGCCGCUGUAAAAC
rnacentral:rRNA from 1 species